AACGAACGCUGGCGGCAUGCCUAACACAUGCAAGUCGAACGAGACCUUCGGGUCUAGUGGCGCACGGGUGCGUAACGCGUGGGAAUCUGCCCUUAGGUUCGGAAUAACUUCGGGAAACUGAAGCUAAUACCGGAUGAUGACGUAAGUCCAAAGAUUUAUCGCCUAAGGAUGAGCCCGCGUUGGAUUAGCUAGUUGGUGAGGUAAAGGCUCACCAAGGCGACGAUUCAUAGCUGGUCUGAGAGGAUGAUCAGCCACACUGGGACUGAGACACGGCCCAGACUCCUACGGGAGGCAGCAGUGGGGAAUAUUGGACAAUGGGCGAAAGACCUGAUUCAGCAAUGCCGCGUG
rnacentral:rRNA from 1 species